rnacentral:rRNA from 1 species
GAUGAACGCUGGCGGCGUGCCUAAUACAUGCAAGUCGAGCGAACAGACGAGGAGCUUGCUCCUCUGACGUUAGCGGCGGACGGGUGAGUAACACGUGGAUAACCUACCUAUAAGACUGGGAUAACUGCGGGAAACCGGAGCUAAUACCGGAUAAUAUAUUGAACCGCAUGGUUCAAUAGUGAAAGACGGUUUUGCUGUCACUUAUAGAUGGAUCCGCGCCGCAUUAGCUAGUUGGUAAGGUAACGGCUUACCAAGGCGGCGAUGCGUAGCCGACCUGAGAGGGUGAUCGGCCACACUGGAACUGAGCCACGGUCCAGACUCCUACGGGAGGCAGCAGUAGGGAAUCUUCCGCAAUGGGCGAAAGCCUGACGGAGCAACGCCGCGUGAGUGAUGAAGGUCUUCGGAUCGUAAAACUCUGUUAUUAGGGAAGAACAAAUGUGUAAGUAACUAUGCACGUCUUGACGGUACCUAAUCAGAAAGCCACGGCUAACUACGUG